UUGGCCUACGGGACGCAGCAGUGGGGAAUAUUGGGCAAUGGGCGCAAGCCUGACCCAGCAAUGCCGCGUGAAGGAAGAAGGCCCUCGGGUUGUAAACUUCUUUUAUCAGGGACGAAGGAUGUGACGGUACCUGAUGAAUAAGCUCCGGCUAACUAUGUGCCAGCAGCCGCGGUAAUACGUAGGGAGCAAGCGUUAUCCGGAAUGAUUGGGCGUAAAGGGUGCGCAGGCGGUCCUGAAAGUCUGGAGUGAAGCGCAUGAGAUCAACUCAUGCA
rnacentral:rRNA from 1 species